GUCAAGAAAGCUGUGGGAAGAAAUGGCAUAACAAGGACUUUGAAUUCAGUUAGCCAUUGAGAGAAAGAAAGAGAUGUUAUUUUUCCAUUGAUUUCAUGUGUAAGUUAGCUUUCUUCGACUUCGGUUCCGGUUUUGCUUGCUUAAUUCUUUCAGCUAAUCCAGCAAGCUACUCUAUAUACUACUUGCCUCCGUCCCUAAAUGUUCGACGCCGUUGACUUUUUAAUAUACGUUUGACCAUUCGUUUUAUUCAAAAUAUUUACACAAUUACUAAUUAUUUUUGUAUCAUUUGAUUUAUUGUUAUUUUCUAAAAAAAAUCAAUAAGACGAAUAGUCAAACAUGUAUAAAAAAAUCAACGACGUCAAAUAUUUAGGGACAUUUAGGGACGGAGGGAGUAUAAUUUUCUAUCUGCCAACUCCAAUCAUUUGUCGUUUAUUUUGCAAGCAACAGUCUGCGUUUUGGCAUCAAUAGAAGUCCAUCACUGUGUAGCUUAUGAAAUUUCAAUAAAGGCGUUUUCACCUUUCUCUUACCACUGAUGCGCCAGGACUAAAAGGGAAUUCAACAUUUUCCAUUUUGCUUUGUUAAGUACUCCAUGUAGGACUCCUCGCAUUACAAGAAAAUGCAACAAGUUUGCAUUAAUUGAAUUUCCUUGAUAAAUUUAGCAUCAAUGAAUGUGUACCCUUGUACAAGUAGACUCUAUUUUUGUUUAAAAGAAGUUCAUGUUAAGUGUUUUCAGGUAUUUACAUUUUUUAGAUUAGUCUGAUGAUAUUUUGAGGUUGCAUACCCUCCCAAUGCAUAGUGAACAAACAUACAUACCCUGUCUAGGUUAAUUUCCUCGUGACAAAAAAAUAUAAAUGCUUUUCUCAUCGAUCUCUAUGGCAUGACACUGUCUUGAUAUCUCUGACAUGUGAGUCAUAGGUCCACGUAUCAUUCGUAGCAGAAUAAGAAAAUGUUAUAAAAAUAAUAGCAUCAUUUUCUCAAAAUACUAAAAUCUAGUAUUAAAUUUGAUACAAUCUAGUACCAUGCAUCUUGACACAUUUUGUAAUAGGUUAUGUCAAAUCCCAGUAUGAGUUUCCGUGAGAUGGAGAUAGUAUAGAUUUUGUAGAAGAAAGAAAUGUUUUUAACUCUAAAACUCUUGCUACAAUAUGUAGGAGUAUUAAUAUUUAUAUUUAUUGAUGGAUGUAUUACUUCACAUAAUAAUAUUUGGAGCACAUGCAAAUCCAUAUUUUUUAUAUGUACUACUCCCUCCGUCGAGAAUAUAAUGAGUUUUAGACCAAGAUGUUUGUAUUAAGAAAAUUAAUCGGAUUAAAUGAAAAGGUUUGUGGAUGACUGAGUGAACAUUGGAAGAGAAUGUAAAGUAUAUAAAUUAUAUUUCAGGAUAAAGUUUAAUUGAUACUAAUAUUAUAUAUGUUACUUAAUUCUAAGACAGAGAAAUUACUCCAGUACACCAAAAUUAAGGGGGAAAGUUUACUGGGCCCAAGAUUCUGUAAGGCUGAUAGCAGGGAUUGGGUAGUUCCAUAUCCUGUCAAGCUAAGCUGGAGGAGUCGAGGGAGGAGUAAGCUUUUGCUUUAUCCCACAGGCAGUGAGGCAGUGACAGAAGGCAGCUUUCCCUCCUGCUCCCUCCACCUCUCUUUCCUUCCUCACCUCACCUCACUUGUCUUCACCCUAGCAAAAUACUCUAGGUUUGCUAUUUCAAUAUAUUACAAAGUAUUAUAGCAUUUUUUUCUCAAUUAUAUUAAUAUCAUUUGUUUGAAUCAAAUAUGAACUAUUGCAUAAUAUCAGAAAAUAUUAUAGACUAAUUUGUAAAAGAACUAUAUAUUUAAAGUAGUAUAGAUAAAUCUGUACCGCUAGUACUUCGCAUUGUAAGAUAUACUCUCUCCGUCAUAAAGAUAACUUUAUUUUUCACUCAUUGCAUAUCUUAAAAGACUAAAAUACAUUUUACUUUAUUAAAUCUCAAUAUAGAUAUCCUCUACUUUAUAUAUUAUCAAUACAUUUAUUCUUUGCUUUCACAAAAUCCAAUGCAAUGAUAUUCUAAAAUAAAUUUGUUUUGAAACAAAGUAAAAUGACAAGAAUGAUAUUAUUUUGGGGACGACAUAGUAAAUAUCUACUGAAUGAUUUGAUUCAUCUUAAAACUAUGAAUCAGUAAAUUAAAUUUAGCUAACUAGCUAUAAUAUAAUUUCACACUAUCUUUCCACUUCUAUUUAUGAUUGAAAGCCAAAUUGGUGAAGUUGAUUUUAUGGCUUUUUACUUGACUUUCAACAUUGACUUUUAAAUUACUAAUAUACAUAUAUAAAAGUUUUAUUUAUAAUUUAUUUUUUAUUUGCAAAAUAUUAUUUGAUUUUUUAUAAAAAAAAGACAAACAAUCAUGCCUUUAAUUCAUCCUAUAUCCAGGUUUGUACUCCAAAAAUAAAUCAAAGUGCUGGGACUGGGAGUACAUCCAUCGCAACAAACAAAAAGGCCUUGGGCUCCAGCAACAGAGGGACGGCACAUGGUACCAGCGGAAGGGCGCUGACGCCUGGGCCCCACCUCUGGUCCAGGCCCACAUGUAGUGUCAGCAGCUCUCGUGCUGUGACAGGUAGGCUGCUCAGACAGAUCGACCGGACGAUGUGAUUUUACCCCCUCAGAUCUCACUCACCCAAUCUCGAUCCACUUGCUCAUGUCACGGAGAUAAUUUUUUGGUAUCAUAUUAUAUGUUUGAUCAAAUGGCGAAAGGAUUUUCGGAUACGAAUAAAAAAAAUAAAUUUUACAGCUCAACUAAACCACGAGAUGAAUCAUUUGAGCCUAAUUAAUCUGUCAUUAGCGUAUGCGGGUUAUCGUAGUACUUAUGACUAAUCAUAAGUUAAUUAGGCUAAAAAAUUCGUCUCACGAUUUCUCACAUAACUAUUUUAUAUGUCCAAAGAUUCGAUGCGAUAUUUUUAGGAGAAAAUUUUUAGAAACUAAAAGGGCCAAAAGAUUCAGACAGAGAUCUAGAGAGAUCCGAGUAGAACAAGAAUGGACGAAUUCCACUGCAAGCAACGAAGCAGGAUGGCUGCUUCAAGAAGGAAUCCCAGUGAAAAUUCUCCCUGGAACCUGGCCGGCUGCAACCCCAGCACGGGACAGAGAGAACAACUAUGCAUGGCUUCUCUAAUACAGAGAGGACAAACCAACAAAAAAAACAAGAAAGAAAAACACGGGAGGAGAAACACAUGCACCUCAGCUGAACUCUAAAACAUGCACCUCAGCAUUGACUUUGUAGUUCAACUUUGGUAGUAAUCGAGGCUUGCUUACCUUGCUGAUAGUAUUUACGUCUCAAAUAC
rnacentral:lncRNA from 1 species